UGACAGCCCCGUACACAAAAAUGCACAUGCUGUGAGCUCGAUGAGUAGGGCGGGACACGUGGUAUCCUGUCUGAAUAUGGGGGGACCAUCCUCCAAGGCUAAAUACUCCUGACUGACCGAUAGUGAACCAGUACCGUGAGGGAAAGGCGAAAAGAACCCCGGCGAGGGGAGUGAAAAAGAACCUGAAACCGUGUACGUACAAGCAGUGGGAGCACAGAGCAAUCUGUGUGACUGCGUACCUUUUGUAUAAUGGGUCAGCGACUUAUAUUCUGUAGCAAGGUUAACCGAAUAGGGGAGCCGAAGGGAAACCGAGUCUUAACUGGGCGUUAAGUUGCAGGGUAUAGACCCGAAACCCGGUGAUCUAGCCAUGGGCAGGUUGAAGGUUGGGUAACACUAACUGGAGGACCGAACCGACUAAUGUUGAAAAAUUAGCGGAUGACUUGUGGCUGGGGGUGAAAGGCCAAUCAAACCGGGAGAUAGCUGGUUCUCCCCGAAAGCUAUUUAGGUAGCGCCUCGUGAAUUCAUCUCCGGGGGUAGAGCACUGUUUCGGCAAGGGGGUCAUCCCGA
rnacentral:rRNA from 1 species